UCGUCGUCUGUUUUUUUUUCAGUGUUUGGUUGUUUUGUAGAAGGGUGGAGUGUUGACUGUUCACUGUUGGUCGUUCGUAUUCCUGUUUGUUUGUCGUCUGUCAAAGAUUUGAGUCAAUAUUUCCGUAUAUCUUUUUCAAUUCAAUAAACCCAUACAUUAGUUAUAUUAUUUUUCUCUCAAAAUGAUGUCAAUGAAUAUGUCGGCAAUUGCAUCAGCAGAGGCCCAAUUUAUUACGACAGGAAGUCGUCCAGCCAAAAAAGAAAAGCUUAGACCUUGUUGUGUUUGCAAGGAAACGAAAAUGGCCAGAGAUGAAUGUGUUCUCAAGAAUGGACAAGCAGCAUGUCAAAGCUACAUAGAAGCCCACAAAGAAUGUAUGAGAAAGAUGGGCUUUCAUAUCUGAAACAUUGUUAACUUAAGUAUUUGGAUUAGGCUACAUUACCACAAUGUAACUUUGUUAAGUUAAAACUUAAUAAUGAGUAUUAUUUGUUUUGAUGUUACAUCAUCCUUCCCGGUACCUAUUAGGUCCUAAUAUCUGUUAUGUUGUGAUAUUGUAGAUUUGUAGUUUAAAUUAUAAGUUUUGUGUGAUAUUAAAACGUAAUUUAUUGAA